CCUUUAACAGGGGGAUAACACUGAGAAAUUGGUACUAAUACCCCAUAAUAUCAUAGAAGGCAUCUUUUAUGGUUGAAAAUUCCGAUGGUUAGAGAUGGGCAUGCGUUGUAUUAGCUAGUUGGUGGGGUAACGGCUCACCAAGGCGACGAUACAUAGGGGGACUGAGAGGUUAACCCCCCACACUGGUACUGAGACACGGACCAGACUCCUACGGGAGGCAGCAGUGAGGAAUAUUGGUCAAUGGACGCAAGUCUGAACCAGCCAUGCCGCGUGCAGGAUGACGGCUCUAUGAGUUGUAAACUGCUUUUGUACGAGGGUAAACGCAGAUACGUGUAUCUGUCUGAAAGUAUCGUACGAAUAAGGAUCGGCUAACUCCGUGCCAGCAGCCGCGGUAAUACGGAGGAUUCAAGCGUUAUCCGGAUUUAUUGGGUUUAAAGGGUGCGUAGGCGGUUUGAUAAGUUAGAGGUGAAAUUUCGGGGCUCAACCCUGAACGUGCCUCUAAUACUGUUGAGCUAGAGAGUAGUUGCGGUAGGCGGAAUGUAUGGUGUAGCGGUGAAAUGCUUAGAGAUCAUACAGAACACCGAUUGCGAAGGCAGCUUACCAAACUAUAUCUGACGUUGAGGCACGAAAGCGUGGGGAGCAAACAGGAUUAGAUACCCUGGUAGUCCACGCAGUAAACGAUGAUAACUCGUUGUCGGCGAUACACAGUCGGUGACUAAGCGAAAGCGAUAAGUUAUCCACCUGGGGAGUACGUUCGCAAGAAUGAAACUCAAAGGAAUUGACGGGGGCCCGCACAAGCGGAGGAACAUGUGGUUUAAUUCGAUGAUACGCGAGGAACCUUACCCGGGCUUGAAAGUUAGCGACGAUUCUUGAAAGAGGAUUUCCCUUCGGGGCGCGAAACUAGGUGCUGCAUGGUUGUCGUCAGCUCGUGCCGUGAGGUGUCGGGUUAAGUCCCAUAACGAGCGCAACCCCUACCGUUAGUUGCCAUCAGGUGAAGCUGGGCACUCUGGCGGGACUGCCGGUGUAAGCCGAGAGGAAGGUGGGGAUGACGUCAAAUCAGCACGGCCCUUACGUCCGGGGCUACACACGUGUUACAAUGGUAGGUACAGAGGGCAGCUACCCAGCGAUGGGAUGCGAAUCUCGAAAGCCUAUCUCAGUUCGGAUUGGAGGCUGAAACCCGCCUCCAUGAAGUUGGAUUCGCUAGUAAUCGCGCAUCAGCCAUGGCGCGGUGAAUAAAAAGCCGGGCCUUGUACA
rnacentral:rRNA from 1 species